rnacentral:rRNA from 1 species
AUGGCGGCCAAUGAGGAGGAGGAGGGGACUUCGCCGCUGCUGAGCAAGGAGGAGGAACGCCGGCACCACCCCGGCUGCCCGGGCUGCGACCACGACCGGAGGAAGGACCUCCAGACCGGGCUGCCUUACAAGGAAUUCUCCUACGUCUGGAUGAUCUGCCUCACCACCGGUACGUACGCCCUCCUUUCGGCCCCUCAAACCUCAACCCAGAUUCUUCUUCUGGAAACAAACGAAAAUGAAAUCAGCGGAAUUUUCUCCCUCGAUGAGGUCACUGUUGUGUAG